AAACUGCGAAUGGCUCAUUAAAUCAGUUAUCGUUUAUUUGAUAGUACCUUACUACUUGGAUAACCGUGGUAAUUCUAGAGCUAAUACAUGCGAAAAACCCCGACUUCGGAAGGGGUGUAUUUAUUAGAUAAAAAACCAAUGCCCUUCGGGGCUUCCUGGCGAUUCAUAAUAACUUAACGAAUCGCAUGGCCUUGCGCCGGCGAUGGUUCAUUCAAAUUUCUGCCCUAUCAACUUUCGAUUGUAGAGUAGUGGUCUACAAUGGUUUCAACGGGUAACGGGGAAUUAGGGUUCGACUCCGGAGAGGGAGCCUGAGAAACGGCUACCACAUCCAAGGAAGGCAGCAGGCGCGCAAAUUACCCAAUCCCGACACGGGGAGGUAGUGACAAUAAAUACUGAUACAGGGCUCUUUUGGGUCUUGUAAUUGGAAUGAGUACAAUUUAAAUCCCUUAACGAGGAACAACUGGAGGGCAAGUCUGGUGCCAGCAGCCGCGGUAAUUCCAGCUCCAGAAGCGUAUAUUAAAGUUGUUGCAGUUAAAAAGCUCGUAGUUGAAUUUUGGGCCUGGCUGGCCGGUCCGCCUCACCGCGUGCACUGGUCCGGCCGGGCCUUUCCUCCUGGGGAUCCGCAUGCCCUUCACUGGGUGUGUUGGGGAACCAGGACUUUUACUUUGAAAAAAUUAGAGUGUUCAAAGCAGGCCUUUGCUCGAAUACAUUAGCAUGGAAUAAUAGAAUAGGACGGCUUUCCUAUUUUGUUGGUUUCUAGGGAAGCCGUAAUGAUUAAUAGGGAUAGUCGGGGGCAUCAGUAUUCAAUUGUCAGAGGUGAAAUUCUUGGAUUUAUUGAAGACUAACUACUGCGAAAGCAUUUGCCAAGGAUGUUUUCAUUAAUCAGUGAACGAAAGUUAGGGGAUCGAAGACGAUCAGAUACCGUCGUAGUCUUAACCAUAAACUAUGCCGACUAGGGAUCGGGCGAUGUUACUAUCUUGACUCGCUCGGCACCUUACGAGAAAUCAAAGUUUU
rnacentral:rRNA from 1 species